GAGGCUCCUGCAUUCUUCCAUCACAACCUGAUUGGGAUGACUUUCAACGACAUUACCUUCCACAGUUUGCCAUAUUACGGCAUCACUCGAGUCAGUUUCGAUUAUUACCUUUUUUGCUAGAAUCGACUUGCCGUGUAUAGCCCAAAACCUGGUGUAAGACUUGUCGCUCUCAAGCUAAGUCGUCCGCAAAAUUCUCCUAUCCGCUUUCCUUUAUAGGGCGACUCAAGGGGAGGCUAGCAAAGUCUUUGCUUUAGACCCCCAAAUUUUGAAGCCCCAAAAAUAUUUUUACUUGUGGAUAUUAAUCUUAUUUUCGCUUAGAUAAUAGUGAACUUUAUAAUAAAAGAUACAAAAUGCUUAUCAACCCUAAAAUUUCACCAUCUCCUCCUUUCUUCCUCCUCCUUUUGCCUAUCCUAACCAAAUCCCUUUAAUCCCUUCCAAACUCCACGAAUAAACAAAAAAUCUAAAACUCUAGCUUACUUUAUUUUGUAAAUUCGUCGAAUUUUAGACUUCUCCUUCAUAAAAUAAUUACAUAGACGUGUAGAGCUCCACACGAUCUAUCACUUUAUGUUGGUCUUGACCCCAUAAAGCCUCACCACUAGUGGCAGCCACCCCCACUGCCGUGACGCGGCCGCCGGCGAACCUUCAUGCCGUUAAUCACCAACAAAUGCAUCAAUCUCUGUUUCUUUUCUAUUAUCGAUUUAAAGGCGCUCGUUUCCUUCUAGCACAAUGCCAAACUUGUUUGUUUUGGCGCCUGCUAAGAGGAAACGUAUGCUUCAACGUCGAGCAGCCACCAUUCGUCGCCCCCGGGAUUCGUCUCGUUGCUCGAUUGGCAUUGAAUCCCUCUGUAUGGAAAAACAUCAAUUUCUUUUUCUUAUUUUUAUCUUUUCUGAUUUUUUGCUUUAUUUUAGUAUUAGUUCUAAGGUUUAAUUUCCAUUAAUAUUUCUGUUAUUUAUUUGCAAUGAUUAUUAAUUUUUAAUUAAAUUUUACUUUAUAAAUGUGAAUUUCAGUUCUUCGGCCUAGCCGGUCGAGUAGUUCGUUAUUGCGUGUAGUUUUGAUUUUUUAUUCUUCGACCUAGCCGAUUGAUUAUUUUGUGUGAAUUUGAUCAAGCUUGAACAUUCAGUUCUUCAACCUAGCCGGUCGACCUUUUUUUUUUAAUUGUUUGUCCAUUAGUUCU
rnacentral:lncRNA from 1 species